UACGAAAGGGGCUAGCGUUGCUCGGAAUCACUGGGCGUAAAGCGCACGUAGGCGGACUCUUAAGUCGGUGGUGAAAUCCUGGAGCUCAACUCCAGAACUGCCUUCGAUACUGGGAGUCUCGAGUCCGGGAGAGGUGAGUGGAACUGCGAGUGUAGAGGUGAAAUUCGUAGAUAUUCGCAAGAACACCAGUGGCGAAGGCGGCUCACUGGCCCGGUACUGACGCUGAGGUGCGAAAGCGUGGGGAGCAAACAGG
rnacentral:rRNA from 1 species